rnacentral:lncRNA from 1 species
AUAUAUAUAUAUAUAGGCUGGAAUACUAUCGAUAGCACCAAUUAGCUGUUGGUGCUAUUAGUUUUUUAGCUAUUGGAUUGAGAAAUGUGUGGUUAGGAUGAUGUGGGGCUCCUAGGGUUGAGUGAGUGGUUGGUUGAAUAGUAUAAUCUGACAGGUAAAAAUAAUCAAAGGAUUAAAUCUAAUGGUGGAAAACUCGAUAGCACCAAGUUCUUGGGGCUAUCGAUAGUAUCCCAGCCGGACUAUAUAAAUAUAUAUAUGUA